rnacentral:lncRNA from 1 species
GCAAAGUGGGGAUGAAGAUGACUCCGAUGGCCACCAAGACUCAAAGUGCACACGCCACGUGAAUCCACGUUUUCACAUGUUUCUUUUAUAUAUAUAUAUAUAAUCUUUUUUCUAAUGUAAAUUUAAGAGGGGAAUUAUGGAUAAGACACAUUGCUUGUGAUCGGCACUAUGAGGAUACGGGUAGCAUUGUUCGUCAUUUUGUAGACGUUGGACUGUCCAACAAUUUUCUGAUGCGAGGAACUGUGUGUAGGAUUGUUUGUUUCGGUUUUCAUGCGAGCGAGUGGUAUGGCGUACACGAGUUUUAUAAGUAAUUAACAAGAGUGAGUUUGGAAGGUUGAUCUUCGCGGAUAGAAGAGAUGGUAUAUUUUCAACGGGUUAGGCCUCCUGGAACCCUAAUGCAUCGUUGCUAGAGCAUAUGUCUUGUAUGUUUAUAUCAAAAUACAAUAGCUGAAUAAAUUCUUUUAUGCUGGUAGAAUUAAGGAAGCAUGAUAAGUCCGUGCUCCACAUUCUAGCUAUAUCAUUGGUUUUCAAGAAAUGAACUUUAAAAAUCACUAACAUAAGAGAAAGGUAAGAUAACUCUUUAUGGUCUUAACUAAAAGUGUGGGAGGCCCAAGUCUACAUACAUGUCUUGGAUCAAUGGAAUCCGUUUGGGAAAGAAUAUCAUGAUUAGUCUCGUUGCCAUUGCUACUGUCUUUGAAAUUAUAUAUAUCCUCUAUUUGUCAUGCUUAGUUAUUCACGAGGGACAAACAAAACCACGUUCGUGUGUAUGUUUUGGGUCUUCAAUCACAAGAGUUUCACAUGUGUAGUUAUUCACGAGGGACAAACAAAACCACAUGUGUGUACGUUUUGGGUCUUCAAUCACAAGAGUUUCACAUGUGUUGAAAUGUUUGAUUGUGAGGGACAAACAAAACCACAUUUAGGUGAAUUUAGAUCUGAACGGCGGGUCGCCAAUAAGGUUGGAUCCAAAACAAUUCUGGUUGAGGGAAAUUGUAUGCCAAGAUCCGGAAUAAGGAUACACAAACUUGAACAAAUUAUGAAGGGAAGAAUGUUAGAAAUUACUAAUCAUUAGCGGAUACGUUAGAAGGUAUUUCAAAAUUACUACCUUUGUCUCCUAUUUAUUGUCAAAUUUUGACUUUUGAAGUCUUUAUUCUUCAAAUUUGACCUUAAAUAUUUUUGUUUUUGAUAUGUAACACUUAAUGCAAAAUAUAUGAAUGGAUUGUGUUUUAAAUAUCUUUUUAUUGUUAUAAGUUUUAUCAAGUAAUCUAUAACACAAAUAAAAAUAUUUAAGGUCAAAGUAAAAAAAUAAAAACUUCACAAAUAAAAAAUAAACAAUAAAUAUGAAACGGAGGAAGUAUUAAAUUACAUAACAUAAAUAUUACAUUAUUAGAGUUUAAUUAACCGCCUAAUGUUUUUUUGACUAUAAAAUAUGGUUGGUCUCCCACAUACAUACACUGGACACAACAAUUUCUUGUUGAGGAAGAUAAUCACAAGUUGUUUCAAGUUCAUCAUCGAAGUUCCACGUCAAGAAGACAACAUAAAUAAUGGAUUCAGGUAUAGGUUUCGUUUAGAUGUACACUAUUAUGGAUAUGAAGGUGGAUAAAUACUUUAUAUUAUAUUGUUUUUGGGAUAUUGGCCAUUAGUUGUGAUUUGAUCAUUUAAUGAAUAUAUUUUAAAAGUAUUGGUUUAUUAUAUACAUUUAUUUUCUUUUUUAAAUUGACAUAACAAUAGAAAAUUUAUUUAUAUUUAUUUGAUCAUUAUAGGAAUCUUCCUUCUUUCUUAAUCUAAUAAAUAAUUAAACCAAGAACCAUAGCUUCUAUGUAUUGGGAUGUUUUUAAAAUAAAUCUUUUUGAUAUAUUUUCAUAAAAUUGUAUACUUUAUUUUAUGGGUGUUCGUUUGGAUGGAUCGGUUUGAUCUAAUCCAAUCAAGUGAAUCCAAAUUAAUUUUGGUUUUCAAAACAUGGAUCCGAAUAGUCCAAACUAAAUUCAAAUCCGAUCCGAUCCAAUCCAAUUACAAUUCGGUUGGAUCGGUUUUUAUAAUUCGGUUUUCAAAAACCGAAACAUUUUAAAACGACAUAUAAUUAUAAUAUUAUCCAACUUUACACAAGAAGCGAAAACAAAUUAUUUAGUUGUGAUUUGAAAUUUAUAAACAAUUACUAAGAAUAAAUAUUAUAGUUAUAUAUUUUAUAGAUUGAAAACUUUUGAGAGAAAAUGCAUAUUAAUGUUUUUUUAUCGGGUUAAACGUUUUGAACAUAUUUAAAAAAAUAAAUUACAAAAUUAAUAAAUAAAUAUAGGUAUAUAUUAUAAAUAAAUAAAUAAUAAAUGUUUAUUUGGUUUUUUGGACUAUUCGGUUCUUAUUUUAUAAACCAAAACCCAUCCGAAAUCCAAAAUAAUAAUUCGGUUUUGUUGAAAACCAAUCCAAAAAUCCGAAUAUCCGAAUUAAAUAGUCUAAUCCAAAUUGUCCAAUUGAACAAUUCGGUUUUAUCCAAAUAGUGAACAACACUACUUUAUUCUUUGUAUUUUGUUUUUGUUUUAGCGUCAUACUAGUUGGUUAAUAAAGCUGCCGUUCAAAAAAAGAUUACCGAACCAUUUGAAAGACAUCAACGUUUGGAGUUUUUCAAGAAAUGCUUUUUGGCUAAGAAUUUUUUUUCUUUUGUAGUAAUCCCUUUAUUUGAUAUUUUUUGUAAGGAUGAACAUAAUAACCGAAAAAUCGAACCAUAACCAAAUUAACCGAUAUAACCGAACCAUAAUAACCAAACAAUUUUAAAAACCAUUGGUUCGGUUUCUAAUUUUUGUUAACCGGUAACAAACAGUUCGGUUAUGGUUUUAUAGGUUAACCGAAUCAUUAUUAACCAAAUCACUAACUUUAUAUUUUAGUGAAUAAAAAUUAUGGAUUAUAUAAUAAUAAUAAUAAUAAUAAUAAUAAUAAUAAUAAUAAUAAUAAUAAUAAUAAUAAUAAUAAUAAUAUAGCCAAACUUAUUUAAGACCCAUUAAAUUUUCAAAAUAUAAUUCAUUAAUCUUCACUUAUCAAGAGACGAACAUACAAUCAAACCAUCAAAGGAUGAUCACGUAGAUCAUGCAGAUACACACAGUUUUCCAAUCAUGCAUUGAGUUAGAUUAUUGAUUAAUGUUGUAAUUCCUAAUCGACUAAUUCUAUAACUUGUAAACAUUAUUCAUAAUUAGUUUAAUCUUCACACUCAUAAUCCUAAUCGGAGGCUUCUCACACCGUUAAUCCUAAUAAAAAAUUGUUUUGCCUUUAUAGUUCUAUUUGAAGGAUUUUUUAAUUUAUAAUCAAAACUUCUAGGUAAGUUAAGUUUUUUAGUUCUUCUUCAUUUUAUGAUAUAUUAAGAAUGUAUUUUUUCUAAAAAAAUUGCUUUUUUAUUUACAGUUUUGGACUUAAUCACAUUGAAUGUAUAUGAGUGAUUGUUCUUUUAUCCAGAUAACAUGUAAUAUAAAUGUUUAGUUAUUUUAUUUUAUAGUUUUUGAUUUAAUCUCAUUGAACAUAUAUGAAUGUUUGGCUUUAUUUUAAUGUUAAUAUUAAUUAUCAAUAUAUGAAGUUAUUAAUGUCAAUUUUUUUUAUACUUUUUAUUGAAUGUUUUUUAUUUUGAAUGUGACUAUGUUUUAUCUCACUCUGAGUAUCAAAGGUACACAUUUUAUUCUAUUACUAUAAGCUAGGUUACAAACAUUGGUGCCGAUGACUUUUUGUAUUCUCUUUUAAUUUUUUAUGCUACUAUACUUUCGCCAUUUAUAUUAUUUUGAACAUUAUGGUUAACCAAUAUUAAUCAUUAACCAAAACUGUUAACAGACAAAAACCAUUAACCAUAACCAAUAUUAACCAUACCCAAUGGCUACCAAAAUUCAUUAACCAAUCAUAAUGGUUAUGGUUCGGUUUUGACCAAUAACCGAACCAAACCGCCCCAUACACACCUCUAAUUUUUUGAUCUUUUGUGUAACUUGGAUCAUACGUGCAUCCUUAAUUAACUUGUAUCGUAUAAGAGAGAUAACGCAUGUCAAAAUUCCUUUUACCAAAUAAAGAUAUAAAUGUUUAUGAGAUGAUAUGUUAAGACAACGUUGAUGGUCGUUUGAGAUUUUAUGUGUAAUGCAAUUGUAUUUAAUAUCUGGUUUAAGAACACCAUUAACACUAGAAACGUUUUGUGAGGAAGGUUUAAACAUUAAGGCAAUGACACCAUCUUUCGUCAUUAUGUGAAUAAUAUAACCUUUUUUAUUUCUACAUAUUAUGGUUUAUUUCCUAAGGAAAUCUAAAGUGAAGUCUAGUUUGACUUCGUUAAAGAUAUAUUUAUCACCAAAGAUUUGGUCACAAAAUAUGUUAUUUGCUUUAAAAGAUCUUUUCUAAAUCCUAUUGGAAGAUGUUAUUGCCGCAAAAUAUAUGUUACAUUCGAUUCUCGGUAUGGUGUGUUUUGAUUAAGUCUUUGAUUUUGUCCAUAUGAGACCUGACUUUGUGGUGGUUGGAGCAUGGUGCGCUUCUUGGAGGGCAUGAUGCACUACCACGUGGCAUAACAUGCUUCACUGCCACGUGGCAUAACAUGCUGCACUUCAUUUAGGGCGUGACACGCCUUAGCUAGAAUGUGAGGCCCUAAUUCUUGGGUGUUGAACCCUAUUUAAAUGCAACAAACCCUAUAGAUUGCCUCAUUUGGUCUCUUUUGUUCCAUUUCUCAUAUCUAUAUAUAUAUANNNNNNNNNNNNNNNNNNNNNNNNNNNNNNNNNNNNNNNNNNNNNNNNNNNNNNNNNNNNNNNNNNNNNNNNNNNNNNNNNNNNNNNNNNNNNNNNNNNNNNNNNNNNNNNNNNNNNNNNNNNNNNNNNNNNNNNNNNNNNNNNNNNNNNNNNNNNNNNNNNNNNNNNNNNNNNNNNNNNNNNNNNNNNNNNNNNNNNNNNNNNNNNNNNNNNNNNNNNNNNNNNNNNNNNNNNNNNNCUUGAGGUUUGACAUUGCCGCCAAGUCACGCCUUACGUUAUUUAGAACCUUGUAUAUAUAUAUAUAUAUAUAUAUAUAUAAUUUUAUAGAUUUCAGGUGCAAGUGAUAUUUGUGUGAAAUCUUACAUCGAAACAUAAUAAAUAGGGCUAAAAUAUAAAUAAAAAAUAAAAGAUUAUUCAGAUAAAUCGAAAAAGCGAACUCGUGCCGCCAAAUCUGACUUCGUGAAAGGAAAUUAUGAUUUUUCGAAGUUUUAGUAUAGCAAUAUAUGACUCAAAAACCGAAUUUGAAAUCGGUCGAUUAUUAGGAAAAAAAUCUAAGCGAGAGUUGAAGUUCUCGUUAAUACUUAUCCGUCAAUAUAAAGACAGUCGAGAAUAGAUAUCUUAUAAGAAAAUUAUGAUUUUUGCACGAACUUUAGCCGUCUAAGCUUGUAAAAAAUGUAGCUUUAAAAAUAUAUUGAGAAUUAGAUGAAAUAGUCUAAAUGAAAGUUGUAGAUCUCUUCGGUCACUACACAUGGAUAUAAAGAACGUUGAAAGCGGAACCCGUAUGAAGAAGAUAUGAUUUUUUCCAAGAAAUUUAAGUUACCGCGUGCGCGAACUUAGGUCGCGGCGCACACCGAUAUAGACAUGAAUCCCCACCAGUUUUCCCCAUGUGUUAGGCUAGGAACCUUCCACGUCACCUCUUCCAACACUGUAUGCGACACACACAUACAUAGCACUCGACACGCCCUGAUUUCCAGCUCUAUAAAUUGUCCGUUUUCCGCUCAUUCUCUCCAUACUUUUCCUCCAAACCUCUCUGGAAUACUCUCCACUCUCGAGCCCUUUACUCUGUAGUUCUCGGCCACUUUAGUGAGGCCUUGAGGUGACUAAUAGCCGAAGAAUAAAAAUUUAUUGGGUCAGAAUUCUGGCCGCAUAAUUCUCAGUUUUCACUAGAAUAUUCUAUAAGUUGAGCUACACUUACUCUGCUUUAAGUGUAACUUGUAAUUAUAGUCAUAGUCGCUGUUAUGAACCUAUAACUAAGAUUUUUCAGUGAUUCGAAGUUGUUAUACCGAUUUAUCUACUUACAUGAGUGAUUUCUAUCCUGGAUUUAAUGGGGUGUUUAAAGUGGGAUUUCCAAAUAGUAUACUCUGUAUACCAAACAGACCCUACCUCUAAUAUGAUGCUAACUAGUUAUUCCUUAUUUGAAGAUCUUGAUGUAUACAUUGAGAUUAUUGAGGAAUCUAGAUUUUAUAUUAUAGUCACAAGAAAUAUGAAAAUAGACUAAGACUUAGUGCUAUAUACAUCUAGGUCUUUUGAAAGGAUAGAGUGUUAAGGCAAAGCGCUUCCCUAACCACUAGUCACCUACUUUUGUGAGUUGAAUGGUAGUUACUUUCAAGAGCAUAAUUUAAUAAAAGUAUUUAUUAAAUGCUAAUUGUAAUAAUUGUACUAUGUGCUAUUUUUAUACAAUAAUAGUACUACUUAUCAGAAACUGUGUUAGGAUCAAAUUUCCUUUAGAUAUAGUUUGGGAUACUUAUAGACUUAAAAAGGGUAAAUAGGUUCCAAAUAAGUUGAACAUUGAAUAGGCCUCAUUUUGAUGGUAGCGUGUGAGAUCAGAAUGGAGCGUAGUAGUCCUCCUCUUUUUGGAUGACCAAAAAUGGUGGGUCCAGAUCAAACAACUGGAAAGUAUGUAUGGUUCAUUGACCAGAGUAGAUGACAACACUUGAACAUUCUAGGCGGUCUAGUGAAUUACGUGGAUAGUGUGGACUUAUAACCCACGAACGUAGGUAGAAUGGGAUACCAUAUCUAUCAAUUACUCUAAACAUUGGUUUCCUUUAUAUGACUUAUAAUGGCCACGGAAUCCUUACCUAUGUAGUUAAGCAGUUGCUCAAACGAUUCAUCAAGUUGGGUGAUUCCUCCCAAUAACCGUUGCUUUAGGAUUUAUGAGAAUCAAUUGGGCAGGGUAAGUGGUCUUAUGUCAUAUAUACCUAUAAUGUUUGUUGCAGGAAUGUUAUUAUAUAUUAUCAUUAAUAUAUUAUGGGCAUGAAAACCUUAUGCAUCUCGCCAGGUUUCCAAAAACUGACCCACUAAUUUUAUGUGCAUCAUAAGUAGCAGAUGUAAGGUUGCCGAAGUCUAAUUAGGAUGCCGAGUGAAAUAAGAGAUGUGUGUGUAAUAAUAUUUCAUGACCUUUUUACUUUUAUGCCGUAAUGUAUAUUAGGAUAUGAAUGAUGACAUCCUUGAAGUUUUAAUAUAAUGAAAAAAAACUUAUGUUAUCUCAAAAUGCACUACUAGAAAAAGGGUCUUUUACGACGCGCAAAAUACGAUGCUCAUUGAUCUAUGUUACGCAAGAGAGAGUGACAUUAGAAAAAUGUCAUCUCUUCAAAAAAUUUAAGUAUAUAUGUCGCGUUUUAUUGAGUGCCCUUAGAGGUAGUGUCUAAUGUAAAAAACUUAAAAACACGGAGGGCACUUAAUGUAAAAUGUGCGCCGUCUCAAUGAAUGUCGCAUUAUAAUUUUAGUGAAAGGCGUGCGUCUCUUCACAAAAAUCGAGGUUACUAAUAAAAUAUCUAACACUCACUAUUCAUCAGUCACUUCACUCUCUACGAUUCUAUCGACUCUGAGACCUCGACUCGCCUCCCCUUGCAGACAACGUCUCCUCCUCCGAUCGUUAGGUUACUUCUCCUCUGGCUGAUUUCGCCUCGCCGACGACCGUGGGCUCACCUGACAUCAUUGGAGACUGCUUACGUGCGCUAGGUCCGAUUAAGGUGUUCUUGUUGAACCGAUUUAGGACAAGUGAACUUCCCGGUUGGCCAGAGAACGCUGUAACAGAAGAGAAAGAGCAGAAGAAAGUCGACACAAGGGGAAGAAGCGCCUGGUAGCCAUGAAUCUGAUGCUAAGUUGAACACAUUCAAGGGUUUCUCACCUACUGAAGCUUCUCAAGUCGAACACAAGGUAAAAUCUCAAGCUUCUCAAGUUAUAUGUAAUGUUUUUAUCCCCUUCUUUCAUCUUGCGAACAUUUUCUCUGCUUUUUAUCCCAAACUUUCACCUUGUCCUCAAGGUGAAGAAAGGAUUGGCUAACCGUGUAUGUAUAAUGUUAGUGGCCUAAGAAAUGAGACGAAAAAUCCCUCAAAAUACUCUUAAUCAAACUCCCCUGUGAGAUGUUUCUCUUCAGGUUCUUCGAACCCUGGUCUGGUAGAACGUAAUUUGUUUGUUUUCUGAUUGUACUUAUGAAAUUAUGAGCGUCGUCUUCCUUUAUGACAUGGCCUUCCUUGACACGCAUUGCGUAUCAUAAGCGCGCGUCGUCUAUAGACGACGCACAUUUGAGCGUCAUCUUCCUUUAUGACAUGGCCUUCCUUGACACGCAUUGCGUAUCAUAAGAGAGCGUCGUAAAUGCGCUUCGUCUAUAGACGACGCGCAUUUGCGCGUCGUCUAUAUUUAUGACAUGGCCUUCCUUGACACGCAUUUGCGCGUCGUCUGAGCCUUUUACGACGCGCAAUGAGCGUCGUAAAAGGCCUUUUUUCUAGUAGUGAUGUUUUAUUACACUGGGAAUUUCUGUAUCUCAAUUUAUUAAAGUGUAAAUAAAAAAGUUUUAAUUUGUUCAGAAAAUUUGGGGGAUCUCACAGUUGGUAUCAGACCAUUAGUUUAAGCGAACUAGGAAUUUUUCUAGACUUCUAGACUUACACUUAGAAGUUAUGUACAAAUGGUGAGACGUGUGAUAGAUUACUUUAGGAUAAAUGGCUAGUUUUCUAUAGACAAAAACACUAUUAUACUAUAAGAAGAUGCCUUAACUACUAUUAUGUGCUAAAUGUAUAUAUAAUUAUAUAUAGUAAGUAAUAUAUUGUCCCUAUGACUAUAGAACGAUAUGAUGAUCACAAGGAGCGGUAGAGUAGCCAAUAAUGAAGGAGGUCCGAUACCUUAGAACGUCAGAGCAGGAGCUGCUCAACUCACCAUAAGAGAAGCUUGAGAAACGAUGCAAGAUCUUCGCGAUGACGAAUGUUGUAAGUUUAUGAAUCUCCUAACUCAAGAGCUAGUGAAUUCUAGAGGCGGUACGCCAGUGGUCAAUGAACCGAUAGUCACUGAGCAAGUCAACAAUGCACCAGUUCCCUCUCGUCCAAAGACGGUCCAGGAAGAUAAUGAUGACUAUGAAAGUCAUCAAGGACCACUCCCUCCUCCGGAAGACUUAGAGAUCCAAAGGAAUGAUGAACCCAAUAGCUAUUGCAAGUAUAAAGAUUUCAUGACUUGGAAGCCACCAUCAUUUAACGGGAAGGAGGAUCCGGUGGGAGUAGUGGACUUGAUCUCGGAAAUGGUGCUAGCUUUCGUGACACGAGGUUGCACUGGCAAGAUUCAAACCACCUACACUAUGAGAAAAUUUAAGGGUGCAGAGAUCCGUUGGUGGAGUAUGUUGGAAAAAAUGUUAAUCCCUAACAAGCCAUUGCAACUAAUGUAGGAAGAGUUUCUGACCCACUUCAAGAACAAGUUUUGUUCGGUUGAAUAUAUGUUGGAGUUGGAGAAUCAACUCCUAACAUUGAUAAAGGGAAGCAUAAUGGUUGAGAGUAACCCAAUGCUUUGACGGAUAAAAUGGAGUUUGCACUGCGUUUAGUCCCCGACGAACUAGCCAUUAUUCGUAGGUACUCUAAAGGAUUACCACGAGAGAAUUCUGUGCUGGUUAAGUAGGCAUUGACUUUUGAGGCAGAUAUCUGGGUUGCGAAUUAUGUGGAGAAUAUGAUUAAGAAGAGGACUGAUGACAGAGCUGAAUUCAGUGAAAAGAGGAAAGAUGAUGGGUCCUUAGGAAACAACAAAAACAACAAGAAGAAGCAUUUUAGCGAUUGUGUCGUCUCUUAUAAAUGCAAGAAGUCGGGGCAUAUCUCUAAAAACUAACCAGUAAAAGGAAAGAUUUGCUUCACUUGCGAGGAUGAAGAGAACAUGAAGGCGGAGUGCCCAAAUUCUGAAAAGCCAACCCCAAGGAUCCUACCAGCAAAACCCAAGGGUCAAAGCUACCAAAUGACCCUCAAUAAAUCAAAGGAAGAGACUGGCAUUGCUUCAAGUACAUUCCUAGUGAAUCAAAUUCUUGCCAAGAAUUUAUUUGAUUUAGGAGCAAAUCAUUCCUUUAUAUCGCAUGAAUUUGGUAGAAAGCCUAAGCUAUCACCACUUAGACUAAAUAUCCUUAUUUUAAUAAAAGAAGUUGGUGGUAGGAAUGUAUCUAUUGGAAAUAGGUUAGAGGCCGUAAGCAUUGACUUAAACGGAAACGAAUUUCAUAGAGAGCUAUUAGCUUUCGAGUUGAGUGAGUUCGAUGUAAUUCUCGGCAUGGACUGGUUGGGAAAAAACCUUGCGGACAUCUUUUAUGGAAGGAAGAUGGUGCACAUAAGUCUACCUGCAAGAUAGCAAUUCAUCAUAUACGGAGAUAAGAGUAGAGUGAAGUCUGGAGUCAUCAUGAUGAUGAAAUCCAGAAGAUGCCUAUCUAAGGGAUGUUCAACAUUCUUGGCAUAUGUGAUCGACACAAAGAAGGAAAAAAUGGAAAUGACAUGAUAUACCUAUAGUGGGAGAUUUUCCUGAGGUAUUUCAGAUGACAUACCCGGAUUACUACCAAAGAGGCAGGUAGAAUUCAGAAUCAAGUUAUCGCCAUGUAUGAUGCCAAUUGCAAAAGCAUCAUAUUGUUUAGCGCCUACGCCAAUGAAAGAGUUGAUGAAAAACUCUAGGAGUUGUUGGACAAAGGUUUUAUAAGAGUUAGUUCAUCACCCUAUGGAGCUCCCAUACUAUUCGUAAAGAAGAAGGAUGGUAUGAUGAGAAUGUGCAUUGAUUAUCGAGAGCUAAACAAGGAUAUGAUAAAGAAUUAAUACCCCUACGUAGGAUAUAUGACUUGUUUGACCAAUUACACGGUGCAACCAUCUUCUCUAAGAUUGAUCUCAGGUCAGACUAUCAUCAGUUUAAGAUAAGGGAGCAAGACAUUGAAAAGAUAGCAUUUAGAAUAAGGUAUUAACACUAUGAAUUCAUUGUUAUGUCCUUUGGACUAACACAUGCUCCAACAACAUUCAUGUAUUUGAUGCAUCAAGUUUGUAAACCUUUUCUCGAUAAAUCAGUAAUAGUGUUUAUUGAUGAUAUCCUGUUUUGAUCCAAUAAUAAUCAAGAUCAAAGUAAAAAUCAUCGAUAUGUAUUAGAAGUCCUAAAGAAGGAUAAGUUGUAUGCAAAGUUCUCCAAGUGCAACUUUUGGAUUCAGGAGAUAUAAUUCUUAGGUCAUGUGGUUAGACAGAAGGGCAUAAUGGUCGACCCAUCAAAGAUAGAAGCUGUUGUGAAAUAGGAGACGCCAAAGAGUCCCACUUAAAUUCGUAGUUUUAUGGGAUUGGUGGGUUACUAUUGAAUAUUCAUCCAUAACUUUUCUUCUAUUUCGGCUCCACUGACAGCCCUGGCCGAAAGUACCAAUUCUUAUCAUACCAGAAGGAACUAAUGACUUUGGCAGUUUUCAGUGGUGCUUCUGGAGUUAUAUUGGGAUGCAUCCUUACCUAAAGAGACAAAGUAGUAGCUUACGCCUCAAAACAGUUGAAGCCCUACGAGCAAAACUACGCAACACAUGAUCUAGAUCUUGCAGUAGUGGAUUUUGACCUAAAGAUCUGGAGACAUUUUAUUUAUGGAACCAAUUGCAAAAUAUUUACGGAUCAAAAAAGCCUUCAAUAUCCCUUACAUAGAAGAAAUUGAAUAUGAGCAAGAGAUGAUGGUUGGAGCUACUCAAGGACUAUGAUUGUGAGAUACUAUAGCACCCUGGUAAAGCAAAUAUGAUAGUCGAUGCAUUGAGUAGAAAGGUAAAUCCCGAACGGAAAAGAGCUAGAUAGUUGAAGAUAGAGAUGAUUUCAACGAUUGUAGAAAAGAUCAAAGAAGCUCAGACUUGAGCAUUAAUUGAAGGUGCGAAGAAAGAAGAGCAUAUUGGCAAGAAAUUAGUGUUUGAAGAGAGCAAUCAAGGGUUUAAGACAUUCCAAAAUCACAUUUGGAUGCCAAAUCCUACUACUUGUGGCCAACUAUGAAGAUCGAUGUAGCAACUUACGUAGUAGAAUGUGUGACUUUUGCAAGAGUAAAACCAUAAAAUCAGAAGCCACAUGGAGAAUUGGAACCUCUACCAGCACCCAUUCGUAAGUGGAUGGCAUUACCAUGUAUUUCAUAACUAAGUUGCCAACGACAGAGAAGGGCCAUGGCAUGAUUUGGGUUAGAGUAGGCCGAUUGAAAAAGAAUGCGUAUUCCAUAGCCGCACAAGAAAAUUGGUCUAUGGAGAAGUUGGCAAAAACCUACGUGAAGGUGAUUUUCAAAAUUCUUGGAGUACCCUUAUCGACCGUGUUAGACAAUGACAAUUGAUUUACUUCCAGGUUCUGCCUAUCAUCCACAAACGGAUGGACAGAGCGAAAAAAGUAUCCAAACUUUAUAGGAUAUGUUUCAGGCAUGUACAUUAGAAUUCACGGGUAGCUGGGAUGAUCACCUACCAUUAGCAUAAUUCACCUACAACAAUAGCUAUCACUUAAGCAUGAUGCCUCCUUACGAAGCAUUGUACGGAAGGAAUUGUCGUACACCAUCUUAUUGGUUAGAAGCAGGAGAAAAUACUUUUUGGGUCAUGAGAUGGUUCAACUGACCACUGAUAAAGCAAAGAUCAUUCGAGAAAGUGUGCUAGAUACUCAAAGUUGCCAAAAGAGCUAUGCAUAUAAGAAGCAAAGACAUGUAACGUUUGAGGUCGGCAAUCGAGUAUUACUUAAAGUCUCUCCGUGGAAGGGAUUAUUCAAUUCGGAAAACAUGGGAAGUUGAGUCCUCAUUUUAUUGGUCCAUUUAAAGUAAUUCAGAAGAUUGGAAAACAAGCUUAACUUUGAACCCUCAUUAAGCCAAGAAUUAAGGUCCUUAGGUUAAAUUGAAUUUCACAUCUCAAUAGCCUAAUAAGUAACCAACAAUCAUAUAAAAAGUGAAAAACUUAAUGCUUAACCAUUAAGUCCUUAAUAGAACACCAAAAGUGAUUUAAAAGCUAUUAUGAUCAAUUUUCUCAAAUCUGUCCUCCAACUUCUAAAAUUCGUUCAAGUCAAUAAGAACACCAAACACUCAUGAGACUUAGUUUUCUGGAAAUCUUAGUGUGUCUAGUUUCUUCAAACUUUAAAAUCUCAUUUCGAUAUUCCAAAUCCUUGAGGGGUAAAACUGGAAAUCUUUUCAUAUUGGUCCAUGUUGUCACAAAUUUCAUGCAUUCUAUUCAAAAAAAUUAUAACAAAUUCAUCAGAACUCCAAAUGCCAAGUUUUAAAAGCCUAUAGUUAGAUAUGGAUGUAUAGGUUCCUACAUAUAAAGGGACUGAUGUAAUUCUUAGUAUAUUAGUGCAAUAUAUUCCAAGAGUGUUGAGUUGUAACACUCGGUUUUGAAAGUGUUCGAUUGUGUCUUCGGAGGCCAAGGGUAUAAGCGUAAUCUGACGAUUUGGUAUUUUAUGGGUCUCGGGUCUUAUUCGGAAGGUUGUAGGGCUGGGGUAUGGAGCUGGGAGGGUAGAUUUUCUCAUCACCUUUUUGUGGAUAUGAAGUUCAUAGGAAACAGACUUAGAAAGAAGAAGUUAUAGUAAUUUGAAGAUAUUGGCAUUAUUGGUCCUUAGUAGAGAAAAGUGGCAAGGGGAUCCUAAUCACGCAAGGUGGCCAGCUUAAGAGUACGCCUAACGUAGAGAGGAUAAGUGGUCGCGAGUGUUGGAGACGUACACCCAGCGUAUGCUCAGAGUCCCUAAACCCUAAUUUUUAGGGUUGACUCACUAUUUAAAUCACCUUGAGUCUAAGGGGGUACGCCUCCCUUUCAUUCUCAGUGCCUUAAACCCUAAAUUCGAGUGGUGGCUCCAUCUAAGAGUGUUGUGAACUUUGUGGGUGCAUUUUGGGUGGUUUUUGGUGCAUUUCAAGAAGAUGGAACUUGUUGCAAAGAUGGGAAUCUAGGAGGAGCUUGUGGAUCUGGCAUUUGGGACUCAUUCUCAGCUUGAUGAAGGUAUAAAGUUUUGGUCUUUAUCUUUCAUCUCUUAGAUCUACCAUUGUGAUUUUUAGUUCAUUAUGGUCCCAAGGAUGGAACUUUAUGGUUGAAAUCCGAUCCUUAGGCUUAGCGUUUCCACUCUCUAUGUUAAAUGAGUCCCUAAGGCAAAAAGUUUCCAUCUUGGAGGUAUUAAUGGGUUCAUGCAUGAGUUAAGACGAUUUCCAUGGAAGUAGGUUAUCAUUUUUGAGUUUGAGCUUAUAUGGGUCUUGCAAAGCCAUCAAGUAAGCAGCUUUAUGGUUUACAACGUUGAAGAGGAGUUGGAUCCGUAAUUAUAGCUUCUGGAGUAGAGUAUUAAGCACUCAAAGGAAAAGUCUCUUAACAGAGGAGUAUGUUGGGCGUACAUGUUGGUAUGCGCAACGUACACUCCAUUCAGUCUGUACGCUUAGCGUAUAGAAGAGUACGCCUCGCGUACUCAUCAAUUAUUUAUGGGUUUGGUGUGUUUUGGGCCUCGGGUUGGGUCAAGCAAUGGACUUUGUGUUUUGGGUUUCUUGCUGGGCCAUCAGGUUUGGGAUUAAAAUUUAUUUGUGGAAGCCUAUUAUGGUUUUGAGCCCAAUUUGGAAUUGGGCUAUUAAAGGACUUACGGACAUUAGAGGGUUGGGCUUUGCUUUGGGGUUUGGGCCUUAGUUUUGGAUCAUACUGGGUCAGGGGUAGAAUAGUCAUUUUACCCCCAUGCAUGGAUUCAGGAUUAUGGUAUGGGACCCAAUUGUUAAUUGGGUAUAUUGUUUGGUAGUGACAGCUCGGGAAGCUGGCGGGGCAGCAACUAAAGAAUUCAUGAGGGAAGCUUCUGCAGUGCGAGGUGAGUCUUCUCACCAUACCAAUGGGUCUAAGGCACCAAGUCUGACCCAUUUUAUGAUAGUUGGUAUAAUUGUUGUGUAGAGGUGCGUGGCUUGAGUAGGUGGUAAUAUGCGGUAGAGACAACCUUUAUGGUUAAAGGUAGAGACAACCUUUGUGCCUAACGGUAGAGAUAGCUUGAUAGCUAAUAGAUAUGUGAUACGAGGUAGAGGUAGCUUUCAUAGCUAAUGGAUAUGUGAUAUGUGGUAGAGUUAGCUUUAUAGCUAAUUGAUCUGCAUUAUGUGGUAGAGGUAGCUUUUAUAGCUAAUUGAUAUGUGGUAUGCGGUAGAGAUAGCUUUUAUAGCUGAUAUGAUAUGUUUUUUGUGGAUUGUGUGUGGGGUAUGAUCUGGGGGACUCACUAAACUUUGUGCUUACGGUUUACAGCUUUGGUUUCAGGUAUUUCCGGUAGCGGAGGGAAGAUCUCGGGAUGAUCGCAUGACACACACCAAGAAGUUUUUAGCCUGG